UCCGCCUACGGGGGGCAGCAGUAGGGAAUCUUCCCCAAUGGCCGAAAGCCUGAUGGAGCAACGCCGCGUGGGUGAAGAAGUUCUUCGGAUCGUAAAACCCUGUUGUUAGAGAAGAACGUGCGUGAGAGUAACUGUUCACGUUUCGACGGUAUCUAACCAGAAAGCCACGGCUAACUACGUGCCAGCAGCCGCGGUAAUACGUAGGUGGCAAGCGUUAUCCGGAUUUAUUGGGCGUAAGGGGAACGCAGGCGGUCUUUUAAGUCUGAUGUGGAAGCCUUCGGCUUCACCGGAGUGGUGCAUUGGGA
rnacentral:rRNA from 1 species